rnacentral:rRNA from 1 species
AGGACGAACGCUGGCGGCGUGCUUAACACAUGCAAGUCGAGCGGAAAGGCCAUUUCGGUGGUACUCGAGCGGCGAACGGGUGAGUAACACGUGAGUAAUCUGCCCCUGGCUUUGGGAUAGCCACCGGAAACGGUGAUUAAUACCGGAUAUGACCCGCCCUCGCAGUGGGGGUGUGUGGUAAAGUUUUUCGGCCAGGGAUGUGCUCGCGGCCUAUCAGCUUGAUGGUGGGGUAAUGGCUCACCAUGGCUUCGGACGGGUAGCCGGCCGUGAGGAGGGUGACCGGUCACACUGGGACUGAGACACCGGCCCAGACCUCCGUACGGGAGGCAGCAGGUGGGAAUAGUGGACAAGUGGGACGGAAGCCUGAUCCGAGACAACCGGCCGCGGUGGAGGGAUCGGACCGGUCCGUUUCGGGUUAGUUAACCUC